rnacentral:misc_RNA from 1 species
GUUACUUCGACUUUUUUGUAAUCGCCCGUGGCCGUUCGAUUCCCCCUUCGCGUCAAAAAAGGGACAAUUCACAAGUGUUUGUACUGAUAAUUGGCGACUCGAAGCUUGCGCUCCUAGUCUUUUUCGCUACUGAUCCUUCCACAGGUUCACCUACGGAAA